rnacentral:rRNA from 1 species
AGCGGCGGACGAGUGAGUAACGCGUGGGUAACCUGCCCUGUACACACGGAUAACAUACCGAAAGGUAUGCUAAUACGAGAUAAUAUGCUUUUAUCGCAUGGUAGAAGUAUCAAAGCUUUGGCGGUACAGGAUGGACCCGCGUCUGAUUAACUAGUUGGUAAGGUAACGGCUUACCAAGGCGACGAUCAGUAGCCGACCUGAGAGGGUGAUCGGCCACAUUGGAACUGAGACACGGUCCAAACUCCUACGGGAGGCAGCAGUGGGGAAUAUUGCACAAUGGGCGAAAGCCUGAUGCAGCAACGCCGCGUGAGCGAUGAAGGCCUUCGGGUCGUAAAGCUCUGUCCUUGAGGAAGAUAAUGACGGUACUUGAGGAGGAAGCCCCGGCUAACUACGUGCCAGCAGCCGCGGUAAUACGUAGGGGGCUAGCGUUAUCCGGAAUUACUGGGCGUAAAGGGUGCGUAGGUGGUUUCUUAAGUCAGAGGUGAAAGGCUACGGCUCAACCGUAGUAAGCCUUUGAAACUGGGAAACUUGAGUGCAGGAGAGGAGAGUGGAAUUCCUAGUGUAGCGGUGAAAUGCGUAGAUAUUAGGAGGAACACCAGUUGCGAAGGCGGCUCUCUGGACUGUAACUGACACUGAGGCACGAAAGCGUGGGGGAGCAAACAGGAUUAGAUACCCUGGUAGUCCACGCCGUAAACGAUGAGUACUAGCUGU